UAAGUUGGGGGUGAUUGUAAAAAGCGUGUCCCACUCAUCAGUCAUGCCAUCUUCACCACCAUAUUCUGGAUUCGCACUCCAUAGCGAUGAGAAUGGCUCUCAAUUCCAAAUUCAUGCAACUUUAUGGUUAUGAUCUGUUGUUGGGUCCGAUUGCCGCUUUUUAUGUGUUCAUGGCACCUUACACAAAGGUCGAAGAAAGCUUCAAUGUUCAGGCAAGGCACGACAUAUUAUAUCAUCGGCAUCAGAUAGAGAAGUAUGAUCACUUGGAAUUUCCUGGAGUUGUUCCUCGUACAUUUAUAGGAUCUGGGCCCCGUCAAUUGGAGAGCUAGAAGGGGGCUCCUCAAGAUUCUUGAAAUUGAUCACUGCAAGAUUUUACUUUUUGCCGCUUCUUGCAUAGAAGUUCCUGGUUAUGAGGAGGCCUAACCUUCAUAUUUAGAAUUGAAGGUGACAAUGGCAGAGGACCCUGAGGUUCUGAAAUUACAGCCAGGAGACAAUCCAAGAUUCACUCAAUUUCUUGCUUUUUCGCAGUCCUCAAGUACGUGGGUGGGGUUGACUGGAGUUUCUCAAAAAAUGACUCGUUAAUUCAUCAUCUUGUGUUCCUGGCUUCUUGGCAUUCAGAGAGGUCGCAUUCGGAGAGGCACCAGUGCUUCUAGAACUUCUAGUGAAAAUGAAGAAUACAUUACCUACACUGUAUCGCCAGGUUGACAUUAGAGCAAAGGAAGCAUGAUUUAAGCUAAUAUCGGUCAUCGACUGAUGCAGUCGAAGUGGUGUAUCAUACGAUACCAUUGAAGUUGAUAUCAACAAAAGAGUUCGCCCGAUAAACCUAUCUUGGACUUGUUUCAUAGCGACGAACCUGUUUCAGAUUGUCUUAUGAAUAUGCCUAACGGGUUUUAGAAGAUUUUUUUUAAAAUGUAAAUUAGCACUCAUUGUUUGUAGAAUUUCAGCAUUCUUUGUAUGAUAUGAAAGAUUAUACUUGUAUUUUACCUAAAGCAAGAAAGACUGGUAUUCAUUUUAUGUCCAAGGAAGUAAAAUUUCUAA